CCUACGGGUGGCAGCAGUGAGGAAUAUUGGUCAAUGGCCGGAAGGCUGAACCAGCCAAGCCGCGUGAAGGACGAAGGUGCCAAGCAUUGUAAACUUCUUUUGUCAAGGGACAAAAUCAGGCUCGAGAGCCUGACCGAGGGUACUUGAAGAAAAAGCAUCGGCUAACUCCGUGCCAGCAGCCGCGGUAAUACGGAGGAUGCGAGCGUUAUCCGGAUUUAUUGGGUUUAAAGGGUGCGUAGGCGGGCUGUUAAGUCAGCGGUAAAAGCCCGGGGCUCAACCCCGGCGAGCCGUUGAAACUGGCUGUCUUGAGAUGUCGAGAGGUAUGCGGAAUGCGCAGUGUAGCGGUGAAAUGCUUAGAUAUUGCGCAGAACACCGAUUGCGAAGGCAGCUUACCAAGCUACUUCUGACGUUGAGGCACGAAAGCGUGGGGAGCAAACAGGAUUAGAUACCCGAGUAGUC
rnacentral:rRNA from 1 species